rnacentral:rRNA from 1 species
GACGAACGCUGGCGGCGUGCUUAACACAUGCAAGUCGAGCGGUAAGGCUCCUUCGGGAGUACACGAGCGGCGAACGGGUGAGUAACACGUGAGCAAUCUGCCCUUCACACGGGGAUAACUUCGGGAAACCGAAGCUAAUACCCGAUACGACCACCUCAGGCGUCUGAUGGCGGUGGAAAGUUCCGGCGGUGAAGGAUGAGCUCGCGGCCUAUCAGCUUGUUGGUGGGGUAACGGCCCACCAAGGCAACGACGGGUAGCCGGCCUGAGAGGGUGACCGGCCACACUGGGACUGAGACACGGCCCAGACUCCUACGGGAGGCAGCAGUGGGGAAUAUUGGACAAUGGGCGAAAGCCUGAUCCAGCAACGCCGCGUGAGGGAUGACGGCCUUCGGGUUGUAAACCUCUUUCAGCAGGGACGAAGCGCAAGUGACGAUACCUGCAGAAGAAGCACCGGCCAACUACGUGCCAGCCGCCGCCGUAA